rnacentral:rRNA from 1 species
AUUGAACGCUGGCGGCAGGCCUAACACAUGCAAGUCGAACGGAGCGGCGGACGGGUGAGUAAUGACUAGGAAGAUGCCUGGUAGUGAGGGAUCACGUCCGGAAACGGGCGAUAAUACCGCAUACUUGCAGAAGAGCCUAGGGCGGAUUAGCUAGUUGGAGGGGUAUAGGCAUACCAAGGCGACGAUCCGUAACUGGUCUGAGAGGAUGAUCAGUCACACUGGAACUGAGACACGGUCCAGACUCCUACGGGAGGCAGCAGUGGGGAAUAUUGCGCAAUGGGCGCAAGCCUGAUGCAGCCAUGCCGCGUGUGUGAAGAAGGCCUUCGGGUUGUAAAGCACUUUCAGCGGGGAGGCGUUACCCGAAGAAGAAGCACCGGCUAACUCCGUGCCAGCAGCCGCGGUAAUUC